ACAGCCACAUCAUGUUGAAACACCAGUUUGCAUACGAUCAACGAAGUUAAGCAAUGUCGAGACUGGUCAGUAACUAAAUGGGUGACCACUUGGGAAUACCAGUUGUUGU
rnacentral:rRNA from 1 species